UCAAUAUAGUUUUAAUAUGAUAUCAGUGCAGAGAUACAACUUUUCCCUAGGUAACAUUUCCCAUACCUUAAUGUCAACAACAACAACAACAAUAAUAAUAAUAAUAAUAAUCAUAAUAUUCAUUAUAAUAAUUGUCGUUAAUAUUGGUUUAUUUAGCACAAUAAAAUACAGAUUGCUUGGUGUGACAAAAAAGCCUCAAAUCUGGGAAAAACUUUUAGAAAACAGACUAAAUCUAUAAAGAGAUUCUACAGUGGUAAAAUAUAUAUUUGGCCCCACCAUUAUACAAUGGGAUGGAAAUAGUAGUAACUCUGUUUACUAGAUUUUUACCUUGGCAUCAAUCUCUGUAGCAAUAAAAGAUGUUCCUGUUCACCUUUUAAAACACUGGGGGCCAAAUGUAUUGUGUUUGCACAUACUUUUAUGCUCAUAUCAUCCACAAAAAACACUGGGUGCAACUUGAUCAAUAAGAAUUUCAUGUUGCGUAUUGAGAUUUUGUAGGGCAUUUAUUGAUAAGGUUUUGUGUGUGAUUUUUCCACCUCAGCUACUUUGUGUGUUUUUAUUACAGCAGUGGAACCAGUGGAUUUAAUAACCUACUGAUGAGGGGAAUAGUGGCUCAGUGAUUAAAAGGAUGGACUAUAGAUCAGAAGGUCAUGAGUUUAAAUACCAGCACCACCAAACUCCCAAUCCUGGGCCCUUAAAAAAGGCUAUUAACCCUCAGAUGUAUAAUUUUAAGUUGCUUUGGAUGAGAGGCCCUGCCAACUGCCAUACAUGUAAACAAUGCAACAACAUUUUAGAUCUAAGUGCUUCAACCCUGUUUAUUGGGAUAAAUCCAGAGCAGCCUACACUCAGAAAAAAAUGUGAAACUCUAUACAUUUCCUCUUCACUAAGAUAAUUCUCUACGAUAUCCACAUUUCGAGGUGAAAGCUACAUAUUAAAGAUCUCACAAUUGCAAAGAUAUUAAAGACAAAUCAUGGACCCUGAAGGGAUCCACCCCAGUGCCAAGCAAGGGAACAAUUUAAAUCCUAUUUGAUCACAGCCUAUGUCAUGAACACAUAUAUCAAUAAGACGUUCACCUUUUCUUUUCAUUAGGCUUAAGCCAAUUGGGAGAUGGAAUGGGAAACUCUACGAGCCACAUUAAUGCCCUCUGCACCGUUUUCUCGUUCUGACACGAGGGCCUUUAUUAUUAUCUUUAUUAUUAUUAUCUCUUCAUUACUUGCAUUUCAAGUAAAUUGAACCAAACGUAAGCUGCAUCGUGCUGCAGCUUCGAGUCUCUUCAUCGGUGUCAUCAUCUUUGACGAUGGUGAAUAUUUUGUAUUUCUAGAAAAACAAUAAGUGCAUGUAAUUAUAGUAGUGUCUCGUAUUUAACUUACUUGGAUCAGGAAGUGCAGAGAGAUCAUCCCCGUUUAAAUCCAGCAAUCUAUUCUUUCUAGACGGAGGAAAACAGAUGUUCAGACUGGAGAGAUGUGCAUCAGUGGGCAGACUGAGCAGCCUGUAUCUCUGUAUCCUACUACAGUGAACACUGGUAUCUCUCUUCAUUUAUCUUCCAUUGGCCUGAUAUUGUGUCUACCGUGCAUAAUGUCCUAACACUGUAUCAGAUAGGAUGAAGGAAUCUUAUAUUUUUUUUAAACUUUGAAAGUUCACCAAGGACAUUUUCAAAAGCCUAUACAUAGGAACCAAGGCAGAUUUCCACUUAUGCAAAAUAGUCUACUGCUAAUCAGCAUUUACCGAGAUGCUCAGACAUCUAAUCUGUGUAUCUGCAGCAUCCAGUCCAUAAUCUUUAUUCUGGGUCUAAAUGAACAGGAUCUGUUUUGGGAGAAUAUUUUUACACUGAGUUAAACUUGUAUUUGACUUGUAUUGUUUUGUGACAAUUGAGGCUGACCUCCUGAAAGAUGUCUCCUGCUACUCCACAUUUAACCACAAAUCCAGAUGUGUGUCUGUGUGUGUGUGUGUGUUGGUGCAAAUAUAGUUCGUUACUGAUCAACAAAUACAACUUAAAAAAAAAAAAAAAAAAGGAAAAGUACACCUUUAGCCCAAAACUUUAGUAAUUAACUCAAAAUUUAUUAAUCCAAUAAUAUACUAGUUCAUCUGACUUUAAAGACAACUUU